GACGAACGCUGGCGGCGUGCCUAACACAUGCAAGUCGAACGGGGUGAUUCCUUCGGGGAUCACUUAGUGGCGAACGGGUGAGUAACGCGUGAGGAACCUGCCUCUCAGUGGGGGACAACAGUUGGAAACGACUGCUAAUACCGCAUAAUGUUUUCGGAUCGCAUGAUCUGGAAACCAAAGAUUUAUUGCUGAGAGAUGGCCUCGCGUCUGAUUAGCUAGUUGGUGGGGUAACGGCCCACCAAGGCGACGAUCAGUAGCCGGUCUGAGAGGAUGAACGGCCACAUUGGGACUGAGAUACGGCCCAGACUCCUACGGGAGGCAGCAGUGGGGAAUAUUGGGCAAUGGGGGGAAACCCUGACCCAGCAACGCCGCGUGAACGAGACGCCCCUCGGGGUGUAAAGUUCUGUCAGUGGGGACGAAAACUGACGGUACCACAGAGGAAGCACCGGCUAACUCCGUG
rnacentral:rRNA from 1 species